rnacentral:rRNA from 1 species
ACUCCUACGGGAGGCAGCAGUGGGGAAUAUUGCACAAUGGGCGCAAGCCUGAUGCAGCCAUGCCGCGUGUGUGAAGAAGGCCUUCGGUUGUAAAGCACUUUCAGUUGUGAGGAAGGUGGUGUCGUUAAUAGCGGCAUCAUUUGACGUUAGCAACAGAAGAAGCACCGGCUAACUCCGUGCCAGCAGCCGCGGUAAUACGGAGGGUGCGAGCGUUAAUCGGAAUUACUGGGCGUAAAGCGCAUGCAGGUGGUUUGUUAAGUCAGAUGUGAAAGCCCGGGGCUCAACCUCGGAACUGCAUUUGAAACUGGCAGACUAGAGUACUGUAGAGGGGGUAGAAUUUCAGGUGUAGCGGUGAAAUGCGUAGAGAUCUGAAGGAAUACCGGUGGCGAAGGCGGCCCCCUGGACAGAUACUGACACUCAGAUGCGAAAGCU